UUCGGUCGUAAAGCUCUGUCCUCAAGGAAGAUAAUGACGGUACUUGAGGAGGAAGCCCCGGCUAACUACGUGCCAGCAGCCGCGGUAAUACGUAGGGGGCUAGCGUUAUCCGGAAUUACUGGGCGUAAAGGGUGCGUAGGUGGUUUCUUAAGUCAGAGGUGAAAGGCUACGGCUCAACCGUAGUAAGCCUUUGAAACUGGGAAACUUGAGUGCAGGAGAGGAGAGUGGAAUUCCUAGUGUAGCGGUGAAAUGCGUAGAUAUUAGGAGGAACACCAGUUGCGAAGGCGGCUCUCUGGACUGUAACUGACACUGAGGCACGAAAGCGUGGGGAGCAAACAGGAUUAGAUACCCUGGUAGUCCACGCCGUAAACGAUGAGUACUAGCUGUCGGAGGUUACCCCCUUCGGUGGCGCAGCUAACGCAUUAAAUACUCCGCCUGGGAAGUACGCUCGCAAGAGUGAAACUCAAAUGAAUUGACGGA
rnacentral:rRNA from 1 species